UACGGAGGGUGCAAGCGUUAUCCGGAUUCACUGGGUUUAAAGGGUGCGUAGGUGGGCAGGUAAGUCCGUGGUGAAAUCUCUGAGCUUAACUCAGAAACUGCCGUGGAUACUAUUUGUCUUGAAUAUUGUGGAGGUGAGCGGAAUAUGUCAUGUAGCGGUGAAAUGCUUAGAUAUGACAUAGAACACCAAUUGCGAAGGCAGCUCACUACACAAUUAUUGACGCUGAGGCACGAAAGCGUGGGAUCAAACAGG
rnacentral:rRNA from 1 species